rnacentral:rRNA from 1 species
GAUGAACGCUGGCGGCGUGCUUAACACAUGCAAGUCGAACGGAAAGGCUCCUGCUUGCAGGGGUACUCGAGUGGCGAACGGGUGAGUAACACGUGGGUGAUCUGCCCUGCACUUCGGGAUAAGCCUGGGAAACUGGGUCUAAUACCGGAUAGGACGAUGGUUUGGAUGCCAUUGUGGAAAGUUUUUCGGUGUGGGAUGAGCUCGCGGCCUAUCAGCUUGUUGGUGGGGUAAUGGCCUACCAAGGCGUCGACGGGUAGCCGGCCUGAGAGGGUGUACGGCCACAUUGGGACUGAGAUACGGCCCAGACUCCUACGGGAGGCAGCAGUGGGGAAUAUUGCACAAUGGGCGCAAGCCUGAUGCAGCGACGCCGCGUGGGGGAUGACGGCCUUCGGGUUGUAAACUCCUUUCGCUAGGGACGAAGCGCAAGUGACGGUACCUGGAGAAGAAGCACCGGCAACUACGUG